AUUGAACGCUGGCGGCAGGCUUAACACAUGCAAGUCGAGCGGGGUGAUGGUGCUUGCACUAUCACUUAGCGGCGGACGGGUGAGUAAUGCUUAGGAAUCUGCCUAUUAGUGGGGGACAACAUCUCGAAAGGGAUGCUAAUACCGCAUACGUCCUACGGGAGAAAGCAGGGGAUCACUUGUGACCUUGCGCUAAUAGAUGAGCCUAAGUCGGAUUAGCUAGUUGGUGGGGUAAAGGCCUACCAAGGCGACGAUCUGUAGCGGGUCUGAGAGGAUGAUCCGCCACACUGGGACUGAGACACGGCCCAGACUCCUACGGGAGGCAGCAGUGGGGAAUAUUGGACAAUGGGGGGAACCCUGAUCCAGCCAUGCCGCGUGUGUGAAGAAGGCCUUAUGAUUGUAAAGCACUUUAAGCGAGGAGGAGGCUCCUUUGGUUAAUACCCAAGAUGAGUGGACGUUACUCGCAGAAUAAGCACCGGCUAACUCUGUGCCAGCAGCCGCCGUAA
rnacentral:rRNA from 1 species